GUAUCAGAAGUGCGAAUGCUGACAUGAGUAACGAUAAUGUGGGUGAAAAGCCCACACGCCGGAAGUCCCAGGUUUCCUGCACGACGUUAAUCGGAGCAGGGUGAGUCGGCCCCUAAGGCGAGGCUGAAGAGCGUAGUCGAUGGGAACCAGGUUAAUAUUCCUGGACUUUUUAUAAGUGGUGAAGUGGGGACGAAGAAGGCUAGGUGAGCCAGGCGUUGGUUGUCCUGGUACUUGCAUGUAGGGGGGAAGACUUGGCAAAUCCGGUUUUCCGAUACUCUGAGGUGCGAAGUGGUUCUGACCUUUUGGUACAGAGAAGUCAUUGAUGCCCGGCUUCCAGGAAAAGCUGCUAGCCAUAACUUAUAGAGAACCGUACCGCAAACCGACACAGGUGGACAGGUAGAGAAUACUAAGGCGCUUGAGAGAACUCGGGUGAAGGAACUAGGCAAAAUGGUACCGUAACUUCGGGAGAA
rnacentral:rRNA from 1 species